UACAGAGGGGGCAAGCGUUGUUCGGAAUUACUGGGCGUAAAGGGCGCGUAGGCGGCCUGCUAAGUCGAACGUGAAAUCCCCGGGCUCAACCCGGGAACUGCGUCCGAUACUGGUGGGCUUGAAUCCGGGAGAGGGAUGUGGAAUUCCAGGUGUAGCGGUGAAAUGCGUAGAUAUCAGGAGGAACACCAGCGGCGAAGGCGGCGCUCUGGGCCGGAACUGACGCUGAGGAGCGAAAGCGUGGGUAGCAAACAGG
rnacentral:rRNA from 1 species